rnacentral:tRNA from 1 species
AGAGUAAAAGCUUUUAGAAGCUCUUAACUGUUAAUUAAGAAGAAAUAACUUGAUUAUUUACUCUA